rnacentral:rRNA from 1 species
CACGUAGGGUGCGAGCGUUGUCCGGAAUUAUUGGGCGUAAAGAGCUCGUAGGCGGUGUGUCGCGUCGGCCGUGAAAACCUGCAGCUUAACUGUGGGCUUGCGGUCGAUACGGGCAUCACUGGAGUUCGGCAGGGGAGACUGGAAUUCCUGGUGUAGCGGUGAAAUGCGCAGAUAUCAGGAGGGAACACCGGUGGGCGAAGGCGGGUCUCUGGGCCGAUACUGACGC